UGAAAGUGCAAUACCCUUUAGAUAAAUUUCCGUCUUGAAUAUCCUGACUAAUACUCAAUAGGUCCAGAAAUUUUUGGGGAGAUACUGGUCUUGGUGACACUAGGUACCGACUUCUAAUGUUUCCGUUAAGGCUAGCAUAAACCACAAUUUUCUCCAGUAUGGGUGUGAGUUCAAAGUCAAAAAAAUGGAACAUAUUGCGGUUCAGAUACCAAAAAGGUAUCAAGGCUUCAAUCAGGUCCAACCUUGGCUUGGUGUUCAAAAGUUCGAUAAGACCACCCAGAACCUUUGCCACAAUUUCUCUAUUGCCUUUUUCUAGAUCAUUCCAUCACAUGUGGAGAUGUAAGAGGAUCUCUUUAAGAGCUGCGAAGGGUUCAUUUUCAUUUGUGCUCAUCUUGCACAUUUAUUAAGGUGAUUUAAUAACUUAUUUUGACUCAA
rnacentral:lncRNA from 1 species